GGCUCAGAUUGAACGCUGGCGGCAGGCCUAACACAUGCAAGUCGAGCGGUAGAGAGAAGCUUGCUUCUCUUGAGAGCGGCGGACGGGUGAGUAAUGCCUAGGAAUCUGCCUAGUGGUGGGGGAUAACGUUCGGAAACGGACGCUAAUACCGCAUACGUCCUACGGGAGAAAGCGGGGGAUCUUCGGACCUCGCGCCAUUAGAUGAGCCUAGGUCGGAUUAGCUAGUUGGUGAGGUAAUGGCUCACCAAGGCGACGAUCCGUAACUGGUCUGAGAGGAUGAUCAGUCACACUGGAACUGAGACACGGUCCAGACUCCUACGGGAGGCAGCAGUGGGGAAUAUUGGACAAUGGGCGAAAGCCUGAUCCAGCCAUGCCGCGUGUGUGAAGAAGGUCUUCGGAUUGUAAAGCACUUUAAGUUGGGAGGAAGGGCAGUAACCUAAUACGUUAUUGUUUUGACGUUACCGACAGAAUAAGCACCGGCUAACUUCGUG
rnacentral:rRNA from 1 species